rnacentral:rRNA from 1 species
UGCGGGACCUCGAUGUGAGUUUUGAAUGUUAAGCAGAAUGGUCUGGAAAGGCCAGUGAAACAAGGUGAUAGCCCUGUAAGCGGCGACAGUCAAAAUUCUAGAGGUAUCCCAAGUACCACCGUGCACGUGAAACGCGGUGGGAAUCCGGGAGGACCACCUUCCAAGGCUAAAUAUCUUCUGGUGACCGAUAGUGGACAAGUACAGUGAUGGAAAGGUGAAAAGAACCCCGAGAGGGGAGUGAAAUAGAACCUGAAACCGUAUAUUUACAAGCAGUAGUAGCACUUUAUAUGUGCGACUGCGUACCUCUUUCAUAAUGAGUCAGCGAGUUAUUUUUGCAGGCAAGGUUAAACCGUUAGGUGGAGCCGUAGCGAAAGCGAGUCUGAAUAGGGCGAUUAGUCUGUAGGAAUAGACCCGAAACCCGGUGAUCUAACCAUGGCCAGGCUGAAGCGAGGGUAACACCUCGUGGAGGGCCGAACUAGUUAGGGUUGAAAACCUUUUGGAUGAGCUGUGGUUAGGGGUGAAAGGCCAAUCAAACCGGGUGAUAGCUGGUUCUCCUCGAAAUAUAUUUAGGUAUAGCCUCGGAUAAAUUGUAUCACGGAGGUAGAGCACCGAAUGGGCUAGGGGUCUUUACCAGAUUACCAAACCCAACCGAACUCCGAAUACCGUUGAUAUGUACUCCGGGAGGCAGUCACGGGGUGAUAAGGUCACGUGACGAAAGGGAAAGAACCCAGACCACCGGCUAAGGUCCCCAAAUACACACUAAGUGGUAAACGUUGUGGAGCUACUUUGACAACUAGGAGGUUGGCUUAGAAGCAGCAAUCCUUUAAAGAAAGCGUAAUAGCUCACUAGUCUAGUGGCUCUGCGCGGAAGAUAUAACGGGGCUAAGUGUGUUACCGAAGCUGUGGCUUUGUUGUAAAACAGAGGGUAGGGGAGCGUUCUGGCGUAGGAUGAAGGUUGACCGAUAGGACAGCUGGACGAACCAGAAGUGAUCAUGCUGACAUAAGUAGCGUUGAACUCGAGUGAAAAACUCGAGCGCCGAAAACUCAAGGUUUCCUGGGCAAGGAUAAUCCUCCCAGGGUUAGUCGAGACCUAAGGCGAGGCCAAUUGGCGUAGCCGAUGGACAAAAGGUUAAUAUUCCUUUACCAGUUCUAUUGUAAGUACAGGGGUGACGGAGUAGACAAUCUCAGCCUGUUAUUGGAUUCAGGUGUAAGCGUCAAAGAGGUAUUAUUGGUAAAUCCGUAAUACAUAACUCUGCAGCGUGAAUGCGUGAAGUUUUAUAACUUCUGAAGUGAGAUGAGUCAUGCUUCCAAGAAAAACCUCGGUAUGUUUUUAGAAUUGCUCGUACCGUAAACCGACUCAGGUGAGUGGGGUGAAUAUCCUAAGGCGAUGGGGUGAACUGUGGUUAAGGAACUCGGCAACUUAACACCGUAACUUCGGGAAAAGGUGUGCCGUCGGCUGCGUAGGGUUUGCCUGAAGCAGCUGGCGGUCGCAGAGAAAUGGGAGUAGCGACUGUUUAUCAAAAACACAGGCAUGUGCAAAGUCUCAAGACGACGUAUACGUGCUGACGCCUGCCCGGUGCUGGAAGGUUAAGAGGAUUUGUCAGCCGCAAGGCGAAGCAGAGAAUCGAAGCCCCAGUAAACGGCGGCCGUAACUAUAACGGUCCUAAGGUAGCGAAAUUCCUUGUCGGGUAAGUUCCGACCUGCACGAAUGGCGUAACGACUUCUUCGGUGUCUCAACCACACGCCCCGCGAAAUUGAAUUCUCGGUGAAAAUGCCGGGUACCCGCAGAAAGACGGAAAGACCCCGUGAACCUUUACUGUAGCUUGACAGUGAUUUUAGAGUUUUGAUGUGUAGGAUAGGUGGGAGCCUUUGAAGUUUGGGCGCUAGCUCAGAUGGAGGCAACCUUGAAAUACCACCCUUUAGAACUUUGAAAUCUAACUUGCCCCUUAUAUCAAGGGGAAGGACACUGUCUGGUGGGCAGUUUGACUGGGGCGGUCGCCUCCCAAAAAGUAACGG